rnacentral:rRNA from 1 species
GACGAACGCUAGCGGCAGGCCUAACACAUGCAAGUCGAGGGGUAGAAGUUGCUUGCAACUUUGAGACCGGCGCACGGGUGCGUAACGCGUAUGCAAUCUGCCUUGUACUGAGGGAUAGCCCAGAGAAAUUUGGAUUAAUACCUCAUAGUAUUACGAUGUGGCAUCACAAUGUAAUUAAAGUCCCAACGGUACAAGAUGAGCAUGCGUCCCAUUAGUUAGUUGGUAAGGUAACGGCUUACCAAGACGAUGAUGGGUAGGGGUCCUGAGAGGGAGAUCCCCCACACUGGUACUGAAACACGGACCAGACUCCUACGGGAGGCAGCAGUGAGGAAUAUUGGUCAAUGGGCGCAAGCCUGAACCAGCCAUGCCGCGUGCAGGAUGAAGCAUCUAUGGUGUGUAAACUGCUUUUGUACGGGAAGAAACACUCCUACGUGUAGGAGCUUGACGGUACCGUAAGAAUAAGGAUCGGCUAACUCCGUGCCAGCCGCCGCAGUAAAAC